rnacentral:rRNA from 1 species
AGAGUUUGAUCCUGGCUCAGGAUGAACGCUGGCGGCGUGCUUAACACAUGCAAGUCGAACGAACCUUCGGGUUAGUGGCGGACGGGUGAGUAACGCGUGAGAAUCUGCCCUCAGGAGGGGGAUAACGGUUGGAAACGGCCGCUAAUACCCCAUAUGCCGCGAGGUGAAAUGAAUUUCGCCUGAGGAUGAGCUCGCGUCUGAUUAGCUAGUUGGUGUAGGUAAUGGCUCACCAAGGCAUCGAUCAGUAGCUGGUCUGAGAGGAUGAUCAGCCACACUGGGACUGAGACACGGCCCAGACUCCUACGGGAGGCAGCAGUGGGGAAUUUUCCGCAAUGGGCGAAAGCCUGACGGAGCAACGCCGCGUGAGGGAUGAAGGCCUCUGGGCUGUAAACCUCUUUUCUCAAGGAAGAAGAUCUGACGGUACUUGAGGAAUAAGCCACGGCUAAUUCCGUGCCAGCAGCCGCGGUAAUACGGGAGUGGCAAGCGUUAUCCGGAAUUAUUGGGCGUAAAGCGUCCGCAGGCGGCCUUUCAAGUCUGCUGUUAAAGCGUGGAGCUUAACUCCAUCAUGGCAGUGGAAACUGUUGGGCUUGAGUGUGGUAGGGGCAGAGGGAAUUCCCGGUGUAGCGGUGAAAUGCGUAGAUAUCGGGAAGAACACCAGUGGCGAAGGCGCUCUGCUGGGCCAUCACUGACGCUCAUGGACGAAAGCCAGGGGAGCGAAAGGGAUUAGAUACCCCUGUAGUCCUGGCCGUAAACGAUGAACACUAGGUGUCGGGGGAAUCGACCCCCUCGGUGUCGUAGCCAACGCGUUAAGUGUUCCGCCUGGGGAGUACGCACGCAAGUGUGAAACUCAAAGGAAUUGACGGGGGCCCGCACAAGCGGUGGAGUAUGUGGUUUAAUUCGAUGCAACGCGAAGAACCUUACCAGGGUUUGACAUCCUGCGAAUCUCUUGGAAACGAGAGAGUGCCUUCGGGAGCGCAGAGACAGGUGGUGCAUGGCUGUCGUCAGCUCGUGUCGUGAGAUGUUGGGUUAAGUCCCGCAACGAGCGCAACCCACGUCUUUAGUUGCCAGCAUUUAGUUGGGCACUCUAGAGAGACCGCCGGUGAUAAACCGGAGGAAGGUGUGGAUGACGUCAAGUCAUCAUGCCCCUUACAUCCUGGGCUACACACGUACUACAAUGCUACGGACAAAGGGCAGCAAGUUCGCGAGGACAAGCAAAUCCCAUAAACCGUGGCUCAGUUCAGAUCGUAGGCUGCAACUCGCCUACGUGAAGGAGGAAUCGCUAGUAAUCGCAGGUCAGCAUACUGCGGUGAAUACGUUCCCGGGCCUUGUACACACCGCCCGUCACACCAUGGAAGUUGGCCACGCCCGAAGCCGUUACUCCAACCCUUGUGGAGGAGGACGUCGAAGGUGGGGCUGAUGACUGGGGUGAAGUCGUAACAAGGUAUCCGUACCGGAAGGUGCGGAUG